GAAUCUCAAAAAACUGGGCGACUGGGCUACAAAAUGACGGGUGAAUUCUAUGUUGAUAAAUCAAAAGUAAUGCACAUUGGAAAACAUAAUCCCAAAUACUCAUAUAAAAUGAUGAGGUCUAAAUUAGCUGUUACCACUCAAGAAACAGCUCUUGGAGUCUUUGUGGAUAAUUCUCCGAAAACAUCCACUCAUGGUGCAGCAGCAGUCAAAAAAGUGAACAGAAUUUUGG